rnacentral:rRNA from 1 species
GAUGAACGCUGGCGGCGUGCCUAAUACAUGCAAGUCGAGCGAACAGACGAGGAGCUUGCUCCUCUGACGUUAGCGGCGGACGGGUGAGUAACACGUGGAUCACCUACCUAUAAGACUGGGAUAACUUCGGGAAACCGGAGCUAAUACCGGAUAAUAUAUUGAACCGCAUGGUUCAAUAGUGAAAGACGGUUUUGCUGUCACUUAUAGAUGGAUCCGCGCCGCAUUAGCUAGUUGGUAAGGUAACGGCUUACCAAGGCGACGAUGCGUAGCCGACCUGAGAGGGUGAUCGGCCACACUGGAACUGAGACACGGUCCAGACUCCUACGGGAGGCAGCAGUAGGGAAUCUUCCGCAAUGGGCGAAAGCCUGACGGAGCAACGCCGCGUGAGUGAUGAAGGUCUUCGGAUCGUAAAACUCUGUUAUUAGGGAAGAACAAAUGUGUAAGUAACUAUGCACGUCUUGACGGUACCUAAUCAGAAAGCAACGGCUAACUACGUG